rnacentral:rRNA from 1 species
AACGAACGCUGGCGGCAUGCCUAACACAUGCAAGUCGAACGAGACCUUCGGGUCUAGUGGCGCACGGGUGCGUAACGCGUGGGAAUCUGCCCUUGGGUUCGGAAUAACAGUUGGAAACGACUGCUAAUACCGAAUGAUGACGUAAGUCCAAAGAUUUAUCGCCCAAGGAUGAGCCCGCGUAGGAUUAGCUAGUUGGUGAGGUAAAGGCUCACCAAGGCGACGAUCCUUAGCUGGUCUGAGAGGAUGAUCAGCCACACUGGGACUGAGACACGGCCCAGACUCCUACGGGAGGCAGCAGUGGGGAAUAUUGGACAAUGGGCGAAAGCCUGAUCCAGCAAUGCCGCGUGAGUGAUGAAGGCCUUAGGGUUGUAAAGCUCUUUUACCCGGGAUGAUAAUGACAGUACCGGGAGAAUAAGCUCCGGCUAACUCCGUG